rnacentral:rRNA from 1 species
CAUCCGGUGGUUGGUCGCGUGGAGGGAGCGGGACGAUGAGUAGAAGAAGAGGGGUGGUGCAGGCUUGACAACGGCGAGAAGAGAGGUGCGGAUAUGACGACGAAGAAGAAGGGGAACUAUAGGACGACGAGACGAGAGACAUGGGACGACUACGGGGAGAGAGGAUCGUGACGACGACGUGAAGAAGACUUCGAAAAUAGUUUGGGUUCUCAGACGACGACGAGGAGGGGAUUGUAUCGACGAAGAAGAGGUAGGGGUGCGGCAACGAAGAAGAGGUUCAGGGUACGGCGAAGGAAGAUGAAGUCCUUCUGUGGGGAAACGACUAAGAGAAGAGACAUAGAGUUGGGGGUGAAGAACGACGGGGAAGAGAGAAGACGAGCGACGAUAUAGAAAGGGAGAGAGAAGAGACUUAAAAGACAUUAACCUCUGUACAUCAUGUACAUUAUAAGUCUAAACUAUUCUAGAACGUUGGACUGUUAACAAGUCGAAGCAUGAAUAUUUAUAACAUAGUGUCUAACACAUAAGAGUGAUCAACUUCACAAGAACGACACAUAAACACCAGAUAGACAGUGGUAUAUACACAUAGGUUGGAACACUUGAAAAAAGUAAAACAUCAGAUACAAUUGAGUUCAUACACACUAUAUAUAUGUAUACACACACGGUCACUAUAUUAUGCAAAUACAAGACAGGACGUUGGAACAAAAAAAGACAAUUUACAAUCCAUCAAUAUAUAUAUACUAGUCCAGAAAAAUUAAGGGAUCGGCAAACUGCUAAUGAACACAAUCGUAAAAUAAAGAGUUCAAAUUACUUUUACGGUUUUCCUAUAACUCUAUUAGACUUGGAAGGUAACGAUGAAACAGUAAAAGAAACAGCAGUUGAAACCAAUCAAAUCCGUAUAUAAAGGAACGUUAGUAGUAGAUUUAAGACAGCGAAUCGUAAUCGGCUCGCAACAACGGCAGCGGAUCAGGGACACCUCUUGUGCUGUGAACGUCAAACCCACCUUAUAGGUCGACAUGAAUGUUAACUAGUAAAACCGUGGCAACGGCCCCUGAUCGUAGCUCGUUAACACACUUCGAUAUCUGAUCCGAAUCAUAUCAAAAACAAAUUUAAAGGUCAGUUUAAAUAAAGACACAAAGAAAAUGGAAAAAUGAAAAACAAGGAAGCAGAAUAAUCCCAUGAUUGGGAGAGUGGUCAGAAACUACAAACACUAGCACACUUCCUAUAGAAUGAUAAACAUCCGAGUAACUGUCAAAGUGAACUUGUAUACCGAAAUCAUGUACUAGAAACCAACGGUUCAUCAAACCUGUGCUACUGUCCCGGUUAAACCGGUAGAUAACUCCGGCUUUUAAAACUCAACUCCGGACCUGAAUAACGAGAACAGAACGUCUGACGAAGAAGAGGUAGGGGUGCGACGACGAAGAAGAGGUUCAGGGGACGAUGAAGGAAGACGAUGAAGGAAGACGAAGUCCUACUGUGGGGAAACGACUAAGAGAAGAGACAUAGAGUUGGGGGUGACGAACGACGGGGAAGAGAGACGACGAGCGACGAUAGAGAAAGGGAGAGAGAAGAGACU